rfam:Schistosoma mansoni strain Puerto Rico chromosome 6, complete genome
GCAGUGCUGACGAGUCUCAUAAUAGGACGAAACGGCCGUCCAGUGC